GGGUUGUGAGGUUAAGCGACUAAGCGUACACGGUGGAUGCCCUGGCAGUCAGAGGCGAUGAAGGGCGUGCUAAUCUGCGAUAAGCGCCGGUAAGGUGAUAUGAACCGUUAUAACCGGCGAUACCCGAAUGGGGAAACCCAGUGUGAUUCGUCACACUAUCAUUAACUGAAUCCAUAGGUUAAUGAGGCGAACCGGGGGAACUGAAACAUCUAAGUACCCCGAGGAAAAGAAAUCAACCGAGAUUCCCCCAGUAGCGGCGAGCGAACGGGGAGGAGCCCAGAGCCUGAAUCAGCAUGUGUGUUAGUGGAAGCGUCUGGAAAGGCGCGCGAUACAGGGUGACAGCCCCGUACACAAAAGCGCAUGUGCUGUGAGCUCGAUGAGUAGGGCGGGACACGUGGUAUCCUGUCUGAAUAUGGGGGGACCAUCCUCCAAGGCUAAAUACUCCUGACUGACCGAUAGUGAACCAGUACCGUGAGGGAAAGGCGAAAAGAACCCCGGCGAGGGGAGUGAAAAAGAACCUGAAACCGUGUACGUACAAGCAGUGGGAGCACAGGUUUACCUGUGUGACUGCGUACCUUUUGUAUAAUGGGUCAGCGACUUAUAUUCUGUAGCAAGGUUAACCGUAUAGGGGAGCCGGAGGGAAACCGAGUCUUAACCGGGCGUUAAGUUGCAGGGUAUAGACCCGAAACCCGGUGAUCUAGCCAUGGGCAGGUUGAAGGUUGGGUAACACUAACUGGAGGACCGAACCGACUAAUGUUGAAAAAUUAGCGGAUGACCUGUGGCU
rnacentral:rRNA from 2 species